GUGGCAUAGUGAUUAGAGCGUCCGCCUCGGAUGUGGGAGGUUGCGGGUUUGAAUUCCGCAGUCA